rnacentral:misc_RNA from 1 species
CAAGGAUUGCCCAAAAAGGCUCCACCUCCAUUUCAUAUAUAUGUAUAUAUUAGAUUAAUAUGUAUGAUACAACGAUGAUACAGGCGAUGGCACCACCUGAUCAGAGAACUACAGGAACAUUCCAGGGAAAACAUAUAAUCUAAGGUAACAGCUCUUAACGUGAAUCUCAAGAAAUACUGCUAAGAGUCUGAUAAACCGAAAGCAUAGCAUGUACACCGGGGGAAGAAAACCAAAAGAAAUAAUAGACAAAAGUAGAAAGAGGAACAGAGUGAAUAUGAAGAUCCAAGAAGCCAUACUAUUCUUACAUCUUCAGCCGUUUUUGAGCCUGAUCUGAGUCCUCUCCACUGCUCACAUCCCUAAGAUGUGUCAUUGCUUGAUUGCAAGGAGUAGGAUUCUGAGGAUCCUGGAAAGCAAUGGAAGACAUGACUGACAUCAAGUGAUAUCGUAAACUUACAUAAUAGCUUUCUAACAAGAAACAUUGUUUGUUGACGUUCUUAUUUCUCGGCUUUAUACCUUAUCAGUAGAUGAUUUUCCCGAUGUCAACCCUCUAUUUGCCCUCUUUCCAAGAUCAAUCUGCACCGAGAUGUUGGCCUGUGACAAAUCAACACCAGCACUCUGCAAUGCUUGUGUAAGAUUGCUCAACAACCCUUGAGAGUAAACACUGGAGAUGCUUAUUGUUCCUCCUCCAAUGAUCAGCUCCUCCUGCUGGUUCAUUGUAUCACUUGUGAUGGGAAAGUCAGCUGACUGUGCAUCAGAAACAGGUUGCUGAAGAGGAAGUGCAACAACACCAUCACUUUGAACAGGAGUAGGCAUUGCAGUCUGCAAGGACACAGGAAGAGGCAUAACCUUGUUUCCUAAUUCAGGCUGCUGCUCUGCUGCUUUGCAAGCAACAUCCCUGCCAAGGUUUGAUUCUACUUGGCUGUGUGUGCCUGUAAGCAUGGUUGGGGUGAUGGCAGUGUUAUUCUCAUCAAAUUUCCCAGGAAAUGUUGGCCCUGGACCAGAAUCAUUUUUUAUUGCUUGUGGGUGACCAAUGAAACUUUGAGCACGCCAGUGACUAUUUCUCUGCUCCAAAAACGGAAACUAAUGAGUUAUCUGAGAAGUUUCUAAAUGGAAAUCAAAUGCAUUUGCAGCUUCUCUCGACCACCACAAAUUUCAAUCAAAAGGAAUUAAAAUCAUUCCCCACUAAUUACAGUAAAAAGCAAUUAACAUGAAAACCAAAAUGUAAUUACUUUAAAGGAGAUCCAGAAGAGACUCUGGAUAACCUGAACACAGUGAAAGCAAAACCAAGCCAAUUUCAACCUACUGGUUUAAGUAAAUUGGUACACCAGUAGGUAAAUAUAAGCAAAAUUCAUGGGAGUCAUACGUUAAAAGCCUAGACCCUUCACAGAAGAAGCAGCAGAUGAACUGAAGAAAAAAGCACAUCAUCUGUUCACAAAUAAAUCACAACUAGACAGGUUUAACUAGAGAAAUUUUUAUUACAAAUUAUAAGCUCAAGACUUCGCACUAAAUCCAAACUCCAGAGGCUUAAAGAAAGAGGGUUUAAGAUUUGACAAAAAUUUGGCACAUGACAGGUUAAAGAGGUUAUCAGUGGCAUUAAACAUACCAUUUAUUAUUUUACAUAAAUUCUAUGCCAAUCAAUCUAUUUGUGGGGUCAAACCAAAGACUCCAAAGGAAAACGUGAUUUUCAAUUGCUUGAUGAUAAGUGCUCAAAUUGACUUCUUUGAAAGGAUUAUGAAGGUUUCUAUUACAAUGGUUGAUUGUUAUCUAUAUUAUAUUUUCCCCCUUAAAUAAAGACAUUGAAAAACUUCAAAGAAACUCGAAAAACUUCAAGGAAACACAAAACCCAUUAGAAAACCAAAUUGUACUUAUUUACCAAGGGUCUGUUUGGUAUUAUUGUUG